GUUUCCUGUUCUACUCUGGCACUACAGUGGACUAUACGUUUCCUUGCUUUUAACAUGCUGUGUCAAUCUGUUUCGAUAGUCAGACCAAAACCUGUUCUACAAUGGAGGAAAACACGGAGCUUAACGUAACAAACAAAACAGGAACUGACCACUACUAUACGGAUGACGAAAACACUGACUCGGAAUAUCGUAGAAUGAUAAUGAUUUACUGUUACUUGUAUGGAGGUUCUAUAAAUUUAGUUAUUCUGACUUCUGCUGUGAGCGUGCUGGUCUGCUGCAAGUGAGUAA